UACGGGGGGGGCAAGCGUUGUUCGGAAUUACUGGGCGUAAAGGGCUCGUAGGCGGCCAACUAAGUCAGACGUGAAAUCCCUCGGCUUAACCGGGGAACUGCGUCUGAUACUGGAUGGCUUGAGUUUGGGAGAGGGAUGCGGAAUUCCAGGUGUAGCGGUGAAAUGCGUAGAUAUCUGGAGGAACACCGGUGGCGAAGGCGGCUUGCUGGGCCAGUUCUGACGCUGAGGAGCGAAAGCGUGGGGAGCGAACAGG
rnacentral:rRNA from 1 species